CCGUAAGCUUCACCAGCAAUCAUUUUGAGAGCUUAGUCAAUGCCGAUGUUUGCCCAAAUCACCUCCUUUUUUCUUGGUGAUACAAUCUCUCCACCGGUAAAGAAUCAGAGCAUAACCCAAUAAGCAUCUCAAGAACACUCUAAUCAACGGAGAGCAGACUCUUUGUAGGGGGAACACCGAGAUUACUGAAUCAGACCAGAUGAUUAGAAGAAAUCCAACAACAACAAUAUGAAUGAAGUAAUAAAAGGUUGCCUUCUGGAUUGGUCUUUUGCAGGAUGCAAUCGUUUAUCAUCGAAGCUAUACAUGGUUGGUGAGUAAAAGAACAGUUAUGUUUUCCUCUUUAGUUUACACUUGCUGAUUUGAAACUACGAUUGUUUUCUAAUUUACCAUUUACUUUGUAGUGUUUCUCGGGUGCUGUGGUUGAUCUCUGGGCAAAUGCAGUUUCUUACCUGUCUCCAAGAAGCACUUCUCUUGCAGAAGGUCUUUUCUUAAGAACGUCUCUUGACAAUCUGGUGCCAUUACAAUGUCUGUAUUUGUCUGGAUUACAAUGAUUGAGAAGGAGAAAGUGAUGAA